rnacentral:rRNA from 1 species
UGGCGGCAUGCCUAACACAUGCAAGUCGAACGAUACCUUUCGGGGUAUAGUGGCGCACGGGUGCGUAACGCGUGGGAAUCUGCCCUGGGGUUCGGGAUAACCGUUGGAAACGACGGCUAAUACCGGAUGAUGAUGAAAAUCCAAAGAUUUAUCGCCCUGGGAUGAGCCCGCGUCGGAUUAGCUAGUUGGUGGGGUAAAGGCCUACCAAGGCGACGAUCCGUAGCUGGUCUGAGAGGAUGAUCAGCCACACUGGGACUGAGACACGGCCCAGACUCCUACGGGAGGCAGCAGUGGGGAAUAUUGGACAAUGGGCGCAAGCCUGAUCCAGCAAUGCCGCGUGAGUGAUGAAGGCCUUAGGGUUGUAAAGCUCUUUUACCCGGGAUGAUAAUGACAGUACCGGGAGAAUAAGCCCCGGCUAACUCCGUGCCAGCAGCCGCGGUAAUACGGAGGGGGCUAGCGUUGUUCGGAAUUACUGGGCGUAAAGCGCACGUAGGCGGCUUUGUAAGUUAGAGGUGAAAGCCCGGAGCUCAACUCCGGAAUUGCCUUUGAUACUGCAUGGCUUGAAUCCAGGAGAGGUGAGUGGAAUU